rnacentral:rRNA from 1 species
AGUGAACGCUGGCGGUAGGCCUAACACAUGCAAGUCGAACGGCAGCACAGUAAGAGCUUGCUCUUACGGGUGGCGAGUGGCGGACGGGUGAGGAAUACAUCGGAAUCUACUUUUUCGUGGGGGAUAACGUAGGGAAACUUACGCUAAUACCGCAUACGACCUACGGGUGAAAGCAGGGGAUCUUCGGACCUUUCGCCAGUGAAUGAGCCCAUGUCGGAUUAGCUAGUUGGCGGGGUAAAGGCCCACCAAGGCGACGAUCCGUAGCUGGUCUGAGAGGAGGAGCAGCCAGACGGGGACUGAGACACGACGCAGACGCGGACGGGAUGAAGCAGGGGGGAAUAGUCGACAAGGUGCGAAAGACUGAUCCAGCAAUACCGCGUGAGUGAGGAAGGCCUAAGGGAUGAAAAGCCCGGUGACCCCGGAGGAUAAUGACACGACCGGGAAAAUAAGCGACGGCUAACUCCGUG